UACGUAGGUGGCAAGCGUUGUCCGGAUUUACUGGGCGUAAAGAGCGCGCAGGCGGUCGUUCAAGUCGCGUGUGAAAGCCCCCGGCUCAACUGGGGAGGGUCACGCGAUACUGAUCGACUCGAAGGCAGGAGAGGGUAGUGGAAUUCCCGGUGUAGUGGUGAAAUGCGUAGAUAUCGGGGGGAACACCAGUGGCGAAGGCGACUACCUGGCCUGUUCUUGACGCUGAGGCGCGAAAGCUAGGGGAGCGAACAGG
rnacentral:rRNA from 1 species